UACAGAGGGGGGCAAGCGUUGUUCGGAAUUACUGGGCGUAAAGGGCGCGUAGGCGGCCUGUUAAGUCGAACGUGAAAUCCCUGGGCUCAACCCAGGAACUGCGUCCAAGACUGGGAGGCUUGAAUCCGGGAGAGGGAUGCGGAAUUCCAGAUGUAGCGGUGAAAUGCGUAGAUAUCUGGAGGAACACCGGUGGCGAAGGCGGCAUCCUGGACCGGUAUUGACACUGAGGCGCGAAAGCCAGGGGAGCAAACGGG
rnacentral:rRNA from 1 species